GUUUAUUUCCAGGCGCUAUGGAUUUGUGUGAUAAUUCAUCUUGCUGUCAUCACGGACUUGGCUUGCGCUCGCGCAGCUUCCAAUUUUGCAGGAUCUCAGGAGGAUUGAUGUAACGUUGUUCUGGUUCCAUCAUAAGAACAUUCCCGAAGAAACCCGUACGGUACAGAAGGCAGCGC